rfam:Chloroflexi bacterium RBG_16_54_18 RBG_16_scaffold_6691, whole genome shotgun sequence.
CGGGGCGUAGCGCAGUCCGGUAGCGCACCGCGUUUGGGACGCGGGGGUCGGCGGUUCGAGUCCGCCCGCCCCGA